UUUGACCUCGGAUCAGGUAUGGAUACCCGCUGAACUUAAGCAUAUCAAUAAGCGGAGGAAAAGAAACCAACAGGGAUUGCCCUAGUAACGGCGAGUGAAGCGGCAACAGCUCAAAUUUGAAAUCUGGCUCUUUCAGGGUCCGAGUUGUAAUUUGCAGAGGGCGCUUUGGCGUUGGCAGCGGUCCAAGUUCUUUGGAACAGGACGUCACAGAGGGUGAGAAUCCCGUACGUGGUCGCUAGCCUUCGCCGUGUAAAGCCCCUUCGACGAGUCGAGUUGUUUGGGAAUGCAGCUCUAAAUGGGAGGUAAAUUUCUUCUAAAGCUAAAUACUGGCCAGAGACCGAUAGCGCACAAGUAGAGUGAUCGAAAGAUGAAAAGCACUUUGGAAAGAGAGUCAAAUAGCACGUGAAAUUGUUGAAAGGGAAGCGCUUGCAGCCAGACUUGCCUGUAGUUGCUUAUCUGGACUUUUGUCCGGUGCACUCUUCUGCGGGCAGGCCAGCAUCAGUUUGGGCGGUUGGAUAAAGGUCUCUGUCAUGUACCUCCUUUCGGGGAGGCCUUAUAGGGGAGACGACAUGCAACCAGCCUGGACUGAGGUCCGCGCAUCUGCUAGGAUGCUGGCGUAAUGGCUGUAAGCGGCCCGUCUUGAAACACGGACCAAGGAGUCUAACAUCUAUGCGAGUGUUUGGGUGUCAAGCCCAGACGCGUAAUGAAAGUGAACGGAGGUGGGAACCCUUUGGGUGCACCAUCGACCGAUCCUGAUGUCUUCGGAUGGAUUUGAGUAAGAGCAUGGCUGUUGGGACCCGAAAGAUGGUGAACUAUGCUUGAAUAGGGUGAAGCCAGAGGAAACUCUGGUGGAGGCUCGCAGCGGUUCUGACGUGCAAAUCGAUCGUCAAAUUUGGGCAUAGGGGCGAAAGACUAAUCGAACUAUCUAGUAGCUGGUUCCUGCCGA
rnacentral:rRNA from 2 species